rnacentral:rRNA from 1 species
GACGAACGCUGGCGGCGUGCCUAAUACAUGCAAGUAGAACGCUGAAGGAGGAGCUUGCUUCUCCGGAUGAGUUGCGAACGGGUGAGUAACGCGUAGGUAACCUGCCUGGUAGCGGGGGAUAACUAUUGGAAACGAUAGCUAAUACCGCAUAACAGUAGAUGUUGCAUGACAUUUGCUUAAAAGGUGCAAUUGCAUCACUACCAGAUGGACCUGCGUUGUAUUAGCUAGUUGGUGAGGUAACGGCUCACCAAGGCGACGAUACAUAGCCGACCUGAGAGGGUGAUCGGCCACACUGGGACUGAGACACGGCCCAGACUGCUACGGGAGGCAGCAGUAGGGAAUCUUCGGCAAUGGACGGAAGUCUGACCGAGCAACGCCGCGGGAGUGAAGAAGGUUUUCGGAUCGUAAAGCUCUGUUGUAAGAGAAGAACGAGUGUGAGAGUGGAAAGUUCACACUGUGACGGUAUCUUACCAGAAAGGGACGGCUAACUACGUG